GAAAAGUGUGUGCAGGAGGGUGAGUGGGGCGGUCCACCGUGGGGCCUCUGCCGCCCUGGCCUCGGUUGCGCGCUCGUCUCUUUUCUGGCGCCCGACCGUCUUCCCCCAGCGCCAUGGGGUACUCGUGGGCUGGGAACCGCCGGGCGUCCUGUAGCCUUUCAGCCGGGCUUGGGGCACGUUUGCUCUGGGGGUCGCCGCCCCGACGUGGACCCCAGCCCCCCAGGGUUUUCCCAGCCCAGGAGCCCGUUGAGCCCUGCACAUUGAUUCUUUUGCAGAACAAUUUCGGAACUCUUGGUCUAUGCCAGGCGUAAGCUCUACUUUGUCUUCAAGUAGCAAGUAGUUAUGUAAACAGAUUUCGACACAGUGCGAUGGCUGCAACAAAAAGAAGCAUUAUGAGGUUAAAUGUAAAAAGGUAACUUUAACGACGGCGGAGGUUGCAGGAAAGGCUUCCUGAGGUAGGCGCUGGUGAAAUUGGGAGUUUGAGAGUCCAGGUGAAACGUGCUCCAGUACGUGUCCGGUAGAAAGAAGGCUUGUGGUCCCUCACCUGACUGAGUGGCGCAAUCGAACAGCUCACAGCAUCAGAUCUCCCUUGGGUCACCAGCCUGCUUGCCUGCUCAUCAGUCCCGAGUAUAUCCUAUUGAUCUGUUUCUAUGAAGAGCCCAAAUCCAGUGGUCAACUGAAUAUGGAAGGGGGAUGAGAAAGGAAAAUAUGCUUUUGGAGAUUGAGUAGUAAUGACUCUUGAGAUACUCAAAUAAAAACUGGAGCACUAUCCUUGAUUUCUCCCCUCUCCCUAACUUCCACUCAUUACCAAAACUGUAUCUCUGUUUCUGUAUUUAUUUUGGAUUUAUUUACCUCCACUUCUCUGGCUAUCACCUUAUUCUAAGAUAUCUCUUUACUGCUUUAUAACUUCCCAGCUGUACUCCUUCUACUCUUUCUCCUCCAUAGUACAUUGUCUACACAACAGUUUGCUUGAUUCAAAACAUAAUUCAGACCAGUCGUUUUGAUCUAGGCCUAUAUCUCCACAUACUUGAUGCAGAAACCUAAGGAUCCCAUGUUUGAGGCCAGCCUGUGCUAAGUAUUAAGACCGUCUCAAUAGGUGAGUAGUAAAUAACAUUUCUUCCUUCCAGUUGAAAUCUCUUUAAUGGCUUCUUGUUUAUUUUUAGAAAAAGUUCAACUUCAUGACUUGGGGAGAUAGCUGAGUUGGUAGAGUGCUUGCCUAGCAUGCACAGGGCCUUGGGUUCAACCCCUGGUACCACAUAAACCAGGUAUGGUGGUGCACACCUAUAGUCCCAGCACUCUGAAGGUGGAAGCUAGAGGAUCAGAAGUGCAAGGACAUCCUCAGCUACAUGGUGAGUUUGAGGACAGCCUGGGCUACAUGAGAUCCUGUCUCCAAAAAAAAAAAAAAAAAGUUGCCUUUUUCCUGGCCUCUGAACUCCUGCAUAAACAGUCCCUCUUUUCAGAAACAUCAUGCUAUGCUCAUGCUUUCUUCCUUCCUCUCUCCUCUUCCUCACUACUCCCUCUUUCUCCCUCAGUUACUUCAUUUAUAAGGCUACUAAGCUUUUUUCCAUCUAAGAGCUUUGUUGCUGCUUUCUGCCUACAUCACUGUUUCCACAUUUAGCAUGUUUGACUUCACAUCAAAGUCAGGUAUUACCUUUGAAAAAAUCCCUUCCUUGAUCUUCCUGCAGGGGUCCUCCCCAUUUCUUCUCCAUCUCACCAUCCUGUUUUCUGGUUUUGUCUUAACAUUUAUUCUGUAAUGGUCUUUUUUGAUAUCUGAAGCACAGGUACUUUGCCUGUUUCUUUUUCUUGGUCAGGGGAGGGAGCUGAAACAAGAUCUUAACUAUGAGUUCAGGCUGGCCUAGAACUUACUGUGUAACCCAGUGUGCACUCCAGUAUAGGUCUCUCCUCUUACAUCUGUCUCCCAAUUAGAUGGGAGGCCUGUGUGCUACCACAGGCUGCUUGUCUGUUCUUUGCUAUUGUAUUCCAGGAUCUGGCAAAUAGUAAAUGCUCAGUAAGUUUUCUUUAAAAUGACUCAUUGGUGCCUCUUAUAAUAAAGAAUACAGGACACAUCAUUUGAUCACAGAGAUCUUUAAAUUUCUGUGGGAUAUCCAAAUGGAAAUGGUUAAUACACUUUAGAAUUUGAGAGGUCUGGACUACAGAGAAUUAGGAGUUGUUUAUGUUGGUAGAAGAUAGGAAAGUGUGACUAUCUCAAGAUGGCUUAGGAUGAGGGGAAAAAAAGCCUUGAAGGACAUCAACACUCAAGGAGCAGCUAGAGAAAAAAACUGUAACAUGAAUAAUAAAAGAAAAAAAAAUUUCUUUUUCAAAACAGGGUCUCGUUGUGUAGCCCUGGUGGGCCUGGAGCUCACUAUUAGACCAACCUGGCCUUGAACUCUAAGAGGUUUUCUUGCCUGUUUCCCCAGUGCUGAGAUUACAAGUAUAUGCCGCCAUACCCUGCUAACCUAGGUUGCUUUUGUAUUCCAAUUUUAGGUGUACAUGAGGCAUGUAAAUAUAAUAUACUGUGGAAUAUGGUGUGUUUAAAAAAUUCACUGUGUGGAGUUCACAAGGCAUGGUUUUUCUAGUCAUUCAAAUGCUUUGCUUUUACUCAGCUGGUCACUUCUGGUGUGAAUAUGGGAGAAGUCACAGUUCUUUCCUCCUUUUCUAGAAAUUGCUGCAAUGUGUAAGAGUAGAUGAGCUUCCUCAAAGCCAUGUCUGCUGGCUUAUAAGUCUGCCGACUUACCCCACAGACAGAGAAAGGUUUAGAAGCAGAUCAGCUGAAACUAUUGAACCUAUAGUUUAGGUUCCCUUAUUGUGUGGACCUCUACCAUUUUCCAACAAGCCCUCCAAAUAGUUUGUGCUUCAAUGAAUAUACAAUUUGGAUCUGUCCCUAUAUGGGAUAUAAGCAACUCAGUAAAAUCAUCAGAUUUGUAGUAACUCAUCUCCAAUGUUGACUGUCCAGUGAAAAAUAUUUAAGCCUUUAUGUCAUUGUCUCCCUUUGAAUUUGGACCCUUAUGGUUCCUUUUUGAAUAAUGAAUAGUACAGAAGUAUACACAGACCUAGGCUAUAACAAGACCUGGAACCUGUGCCUUUGGAAUGCUUUUGUGGAAGCCAGCUGCUCUUUUAAAAGGUUUAUUUGUUUUGCUUUUUCCUUUUUUUUGAGACUGGGUCUAAUGUAGCUCAGGAUGGCCUUGAACUCACUCUAUGUAGCUGAAGAUGGCCUUGAACUCCUAAUUCUCCUCCUAUCUUCCAAGUGCUUGGAGUAUAGGCAUGUACAACUCAUUUAAGAAGCCUUAACACCUUGAAACCAACAUGCUUUAAAAAAAAUUCAAGUUAAUGACAUCAAGAAGCUACACAGGGAGAAAUAUUUAGCCAGCCCCUGACUGAAGAUGCCACAUGUGGGAAUGAAGAAGGUAUUUUGGAUUUCCAUCCUAAUCAAGCCUUAGAUGAUUUCAUCUCCAGUCACCAGUUGAACACAAUGGAAGACCACAAGCAAGAGAGGCCUACCUGACCUCAUCAGCCUGCAAGUCUGUGAGAAAUGUUAUUUUAAAUAUCUCUUUGGAAUUGUUACAAAGUAAAAAAUAACCGAAAAACUAUCUUUCCCAGAACAUUAGAAUUUGGAACUUGGAAGAUGCUUAGAGCCUGAGAGUUGGUCACUGAUGACAACAUCCUGAAGGCAAGUUGACAACAAACAGUAAGAAUGAACUUCUUUACAAGGCUGAAUUGAAAGUAAAAGGGAGCUGAAAAAGUCAUUGGCAAAAGCAUUAAAGGUCUUGACCUAUGGGGCUACAGAGAUGGCUCAGUGGUUGAGAGUGCUGGCUGCUCUUUCAGAGAACUCGAGUUCGAUUUCCAGCACCCACAUGGUGGCCAACAACUCCAGUUCCAGGGAAUUCAGACAACCUCUUCUGAUCUCCACAGGCACGGCACAUACGACACAAGUGCACGUAUAUGCAUGCAGGCAACACACUCCUACACAAAAUAUAAAUAAUAAUAAAAUAUUUUAAAGAUCUUAACCUAAUUCCUUGGUCCAGUUUACUAGCAGCUGAUAAUGUCCCUUUGAUACCAGUUGCAUCAUUAGAAGGCUUACCACCCAGAGGCAGAACAGAACCAUUGCAGUUACCAGUAAUCACAUUCCACACCCCUCCCCGACAAGCCAUCUGAUCUUCCACUUCUGGGGAAUAUUGAGCAGGAUUUCUUGUUUGUGAUUUUAGCUCUCAGGUCCCUUCCAGCUAUUCUUAACACCAAGCAAAAUUAAAACAAAGUCUAAUACUCCCUGAGACUGUGAUCCACAGGACUAUCUGCACCUUUGAAUUCUGGGUUCACAGCCUUUUAAGACAGGAUUGCCUUGUAGCCCCAGCUGGCUUGGAACUCAUUAUGUAGACCACCUUGGCCUCUAUCUCACAGAGAUCCACCUGCCUCUGCCUCCCAAGUGCUGGGAUUAAAGACAUGUGUCACCACAUCUAGUGUGGGUUCACAAUCUUAAAGCCAAACUCAAUCCUUUGCUACCCUGAAUGAUAUUUAUUUCCUGGUACUUAAUUGCUUUUGUGCAUUUUAUGACAAAUGGCUCCAAAGUAGCCAUGUGAGCACUUUACUUUUUCAAUACGCAAAUGUAAAUAAACUGUAUAUAGCAAAGUUUUUUUCCUUUUUAUGAGACUUGUUUUUUGUUGUUUUUUAAAUUGAGACUGGGGUUUCCCAUAGUCCCAGGCAAAGCUAAAAACUCCCUAUGUACCUGAGAAUAGCCUCUACUACCUCCUCAGCAGUAGUAAUCACCCCUGUACCAUUAAUACCAAGAAAACCUUUGUUUCAACAUAAGAAUGAGCCAAGUCUGUACAUUAACAAGUUUUAUUUAAAAACAAAAAAACAAACCCACUGUAGGGACUGGAGAAAUGGCUCAGUGUUAAGAGCAAUGGAUGCUCUUGUAGAACACUGGGGCUCAGUUCCCAACCCUCUGUAACUCCAAUGCCAGGGAUCCGAUGCCCUCUUCUGGCCUCUGUGAGCAUUGCAUUCUUAUAUGCAUGUGGGCAAAAACACUUACAGACAUAAAAAAUAAAUCCACUGUAAACUUUUUCAACCUAUACCACAAUCUUCUACCACUUUAUUUUGCUGUUUUUUAGGGUCUCACUAAAUAUGUAGCCUUGGCUGCCCUUAAUCUGAUGAUUUUUCUGUCUUAGCUUUCUGAGUACUGGGAUUAUAGGAAUGUGUUACCAUACUUGGCUCAAAGUUAACCUUCAAAGCCAGUACACAUCAAGAUUUAUUCAAUAUAGUUAACAAAAACAAAAUCGAAUG